UACGAAGGGGGCUAGCGUUGUUCGGAAUUACUGGGCGUAAAGGGCGCGCAGGCGGCCCUCCAAGUCAGGCGUGAAAGCCCCGGGCUUAACCUGGGAACUGCAUUUGAUACUACUGAGCUUGAGUACGGGAGAGGAUAGUGGAAUUCCCAGUGUAGAGGUGAAAUUCGUAGAUAUUGGGAAGAACACCGGUGGCGAAGGCGGCUAUCUGGACCGUAACUGACGCUGAGGCGCGAAAGCGUGGGGAGCAAACAGG
rnacentral:rRNA from 1 species